rnacentral:rRNA from 1 species
GACGAACGCUGGCGGCGUGCCUAAUACAUGCAAGUUGAGCGCUGAAGGUUGGUACUUGUACCAACUGGAUGAGCAGCGAACGGGUGAGUAACGCGUGGGGAAUCUGCCUUUGAGCGGGGGACAACAUUUGGAAACGAAUGCUAAUACCGCAUAAAAACUUUAAACACAAGUUUUAAGUUUGAAAGAUGCAAUUGCAUCACUCAAAGAUGAUCCCGCGUUGUAUUAGCUAGUUGGUGAGGUAAAGGCCCACCAAGGCGAUGAUACAUAGCCGACCUGAGAGGGUGAUCGGCCACAUUGGGACUGAGACACGGCCCAAACUCCUACGGGAGGCAGCAGUAGGGAAUCUUCGGCAAUGGACGCAAGUCUGACCGAGCAACGCCGCGUGAGUGAAGAAGGUUUUCGGAUCGUAAAACUCUGUUGGUAGAGAAGAACGUUGGUGAGAGUGGAAAGCUCAUCAAGUGACGGUAACUACCCAGAAAGGGACGGCUAACUACGUG